rnacentral:rRNA from 1 species
UACGGAGGGCGCGAGCGUUACUCGGAAUUACUGGGCGUAAGCGCGCGUAGGCUGUUGUGUAAGUUGGGGGUGAAAUCCCACGGCUCAACCGUGGAACAGCCCUUGAUACUGCGCGACUUGAAUCCGGGAGAGGGUGGCGGAAUUCCAGGUGUAGGAGUGAAAUCCGUAGAUAUCUGGAGGAACAUCAGUGGCGAAGGCGGCCACCUGGACCGGUAUUGACGCUGAGGCGCGAAAGCGUGGGGAGCAAACAGG